rnacentral:misc_RNA from 1 species
AAGGGGUUGGUUUUCAUAUUAUUGAAAGGGAGAAAGAGGAUUUUAGAUUAUAACUUGGAAGGUUUCUUGGAGCUCCGACCAGCUAUAAAUUCUUGCAUCUUUUGAAAUUGCUCUUUGGUCAUUCCAUUGUAAUACCCAUGAGCUCUCUCCUUUUCCAGCGCAAGAGCUUGGCCAAGAUCAAGCUUCAGGCCGUCGUUAAUGACUGACUUGUAUCUCAAUACCAAAUCCUGAUUGUUCUUCAAGAUUGCCUCCGCAACCUCUCCAGCUUUCUUCAACAAUUCAUCUCCUUCAACCACCUGAUUCACCAAUCCCCUCCUCUCUGCUUCCUCUGCCGUUAGAGGCAUCGCCGUUAGCGAUACUUCACGAGCUUUGUUAACUCCAAUUAUCCUCCCUAGUUUCUGAGAUAAUCCCC